rnacentral:rRNA from 1 species
GUUCUGGAUAACCUCUCUGAAGGGAGUUCGCAGCUCUUGAUGUCCUCUGCUAGCAGCAGCGUAUACUGAAGGUGCUAGCGUAUCCUGAUUCACUGGGUUUAUAGGAUGCGUAAGCGGCAGGCUAGUCAGUAGUGAAAUCUACUUAGGCUUGACUAGGAAACUGCCGUUGGAUACUAUCUGUCUUGUAUGCUGUGGAGGGUAAGCAGGAAUAAUGUUCAUGUAGCGGGUGGAAAUGCUUAGAUAUUGAACAUUAGGAACCACUCUAUUGCGAAGGCAGCUUGCUACACAGAAAUUUAACGCUGAGGCACGAAAAGCGUGGGGAUCAAACCAGGGAUUAGAUACCCUGGUAGUCCACGCCCCUAAACGAUGGAUACUCGACAUCAGCGAUACACAGUUGGUGUCUGAGCGAAAGCAUUAAGUAUCCCACCUGGGAAGUACGACCGCAAGGUUGAAACUCAAAGGAAUUGGCGGGGGUCCGCACAAGCGGUGGAGCAUGUGGUUUAAUUUGAUGAUACGCGAGGAACCUUACCUGGGCUAGAAUGCUGGGAGACCGUGGGUGAAAGCUCACUUUGUAGCAAUACACUGCCAGUAAGGUGCUGCAUGGCUGUCGUCAGCUCGUGCCGUGAGGUGUUGGGUUAAGUCCCACAACGAGCGCAACCCCCAUCAUUAGUUGCCAUCAGGUUAAGCUGGGAACUCUAAUGAAACUGCCGUCGUAAGACGCGAGGAAGGAGGGGAUGAUGUCAAGUCAUCAUGGCCUUUAUGCCCAGGGCUACACACGUGCUACAAUGGGGAGGACAAAGGGGUGCCACUUGGCGACAAGGAGCUAAUCCCUAAAAACCUCCUCUCUGUUCAGAUUGGAGUCUGCAACUCGACUCCAUGAAGCUGGAAUCGCUAGUAAUCGUAGAUCAGCAAUGCUACGGUGAAUACGUUCCCGGACCUUGCACUCUCUGCCUGUCAAGAGCGAA